AGUGUUUACAAGUGCAAAUGGCAUCUCUUGAACUCCAGUUCUGCUGUUUUUUUCGCCCGUUGACUCUGAACCCUCAGCUGCCUUUAAAGCUACUUAUGUUAAUGGUGAUGGUGAAUGAUGCAACGGCAGCAGCAAUCUACGGAAGAGCAUAUUGGGUAGAGCGGAAAAUGGUCAUUGAAACGGUCUUUGCGUUAGAUGCUUGUAACGAUGUUACAUAUAUUUCUCCUAUUUUAUUAACACUACCCUACGACAAUACCAUAAAACGUUCCCUGUCUCUGAAGACUGCCCGGCCAAGAGAUGUCAAGGUAACUUGGCGUCAAGAAUGCGAUCGAGGUUGGGGUCGUCAGCAGAUGACGAAACCAAAGAAGCAGGAAAUAAAACAGAAUUCACGAUACUCCUCGGGUCGUCAUCGCUAUGAAGAUGUAAAGCUUCUUUAGCUUGGAAGGUCUCGCCCAUUUGCCUUGUGACCACUAGACGAGUAUCAUCUAGGCCCGGCCAGUACAACACUAAGAAAACGUGCUUCGGUAGUGUUAAUACAGUUGCAAUAACGUCGAUGUGCCACUGUAAAUAAUAAAAACGAGAUAGUGCCAAAGAAAACAUACUAUCAGAUUGCCCUUCGAGAAGGGCGUUCCCGCCGGGACCGAAAAACGGCCGCAGAAUAAUACCCCUGGGCCAACAUAUCGUGGUCGUGCAACAUCGUGACAAGUUCACGAUAAGUCGAGUGUUACGUGUAACCAACAUCAUUUGACCGUGCGAUACAUCCGGGAUGUUGGUGAGCAUCUAAUUCACCAUAGUACCCACUCGACCCACACAACUGCAGCUGAGACUCGCACC